UGAAUGAUGGGAAUUUAAACCUCUUCCAGAGUAUCAAUUGGAGGGCAAGUCUGGUGCCAGCAGCCGCGGUAAUUCCAGCUCCAAUAGCGUAUAUUAAAAUUGUUGCAGUUAAAAAGCUCGUAGUUGAAUUUCUGCUGCAUUGCUUUUGCUCCUUUACGAGUCUUUGCAUUGUGGCUUAUUUCGGACUUUGUUUUACAAUGUCCGGAUGUUUACUUUGAGAAAAUUAGAGUGCUCAAAGCAGGCUUUCGCCUUGAAUAGUUUAGCAUGGAAUAAUAAAGUAGGACUUUGGUUCUAUUUUGUUGGUUUUAGGUACCAAAGUAAUGGUUAAUAGGAACAGUUGGGGGCAUUCGUAUUUAACUGUCAGAGGUGAAAUUCUUAGAUUUGUUAAAGACGAACUACUGCGAAAGCAUUUGCCAAGGAUGUUUUCAUUAAUCAAGAACGAAAGUUAGGGGAUCGAAGACGAUCAGAUACCGUCGUAGUCU
rnacentral:rRNA from 1 species